CAGAACUGGUCGGGAGAGACGUCACAGGACGUCGCCGAAGGAGCAACCGCCCCGGAAACUCUCAGGCACCCGGACCGACCGGCCGAG
rnacentral:ncRNA from 1 species